rnacentral:lncRNA from 1 species
GAAUCGGACUAGAACGCCGGAGAAGGUCACGCCCCAAGCUCGCUGGAGGUUACGUUCCUACCACUCACGCCAUCACCCACUAUAGCACAUCAGAAAACACAACGACACAGCCCAGUGCGCGCGGGUUCCAACAGGUCCGGGAACUAAGCGCCACGUGAAGAAUGCGAGUAGAGCUCCAGCACUCGCGGGACCAGGCCUCGCCCUGCCGCUUCAGCCCGUGAUCGCCCGGGACGAGCCGGGACCGGCCAGAGGGAGAAGGAACCAGUGAUGGGCGCGAGCCGCGUUUCUCAGCGGCGAUACCCGCACACUCACCAGGGUCGAGCCACAGGUCUCACAAACAGAAAGAGCCGUGAGAACGCAGGAAGAGGUCGCCCGACAGCGCGCGCGGGGAGCUGCUUUUAUAGCCUACAAAGUUCUCGCGAGAUUCUCACGGGCCGGGCUGGAGUGGAGGGGGUCUCCAGGGGGAAACGCUCACACUUUCAGUGAUGCUGUUCCCAGAGGACCACUGUGUGCUGUGCAAUCAAGACCCAAACUAGAAGAAGGGUCUGUUUUACUGCUCUUGGAAGGCCACGUCUAAAAUUAAACCACGUUCAGGGGAAACUGUGCACCCAAAUAUUUCUCAGUCGCACCCCAGCCUCACAAACCUAUUCUAGGGCUGGAAAAGCUGGCUCAGCCGUUAUAAGCCCUGGCUGCACUACCAGAGGACCCAGCCUCAAUUUCCAGCACCCACAUGGCAGCUCAUAACUGUGUAGAUCCAGUUCUAGAGGAUCCAACACCCUCACACAUACAUGCAAGCAAAACACCAAUGCACAGAAAAUGAAAAGAAAUAAAUCGUUAAGAACAAAAACAAA